rnacentral:rRNA from 1 species
GACAGAGGUGCCGAGCGUUAGGCGGAAUCACUGGGCUUAAAGCGCGUGUAGGUGGCGCGCUAAGUCGGGUGUGAAAUUUCGGAGCUUAACUCCGAAACUGCAUUCGAUACUGGCGUGCUUGAGGACUGGAGAGGAGACUGGAAUUCAUGGUGUAGCAGUGAAAUGCGUAGAUAUCGUUUGGAACGCCAAUGGUGAAAACAGGUAACUGGGAGUGUGCCGACGCUGAGACACGAAAGCCAGGGGAGCGAACGGG